rnacentral:rRNA from 1 species
CAGUAGCCGCGGUAAUACGAAGGGGGCUAGCGUUGUUCGGAUUUACUGGGCGUAAAGCGCACGUAGGCGGACUUUUAAGUCAGGGGUGAAAUCCCGGGGCUCAACCCCGGAACUGCCUUUGAUACUGGAAGUCUUGAGUAUGGUAGAGGUGAGUGGAAUUCCGAGUGUAGAGGUGAAAUUCGUAGAUAUUCGGAGAAACACCAGUGGCGAAGGCGGCUCACUGGACCAUUACUGACGCUGAGGUGCGAAAGCGUGGGGAGCAAACAGGAUUAGAUACCCCAGUAGUCCCUGUCUCUUAUAC